UAUGACGUAAAUGAAGCUUAUUGAAUAUCUGAGUUUUCUUUGACCAAUCCAAAGUUCUCCUCAGCUUUUGGUAAUAGGUUCUCAGGAAAAGAAAUGUACUGCAAUACUGAUGGGGCAUACAGGAAGUGUGAAAUCUCUCUGCCCUCAUCCAACUAAUCCUGGAAGCUGAGAAGCAUCUGUCAGAUACGGUUGUGUCCAAGGCACUGGCGGCCAAGAUUGAUCGGCCAAUAGGAAUAGUCUGUUUUCAAACUGCAAAGGAUAGCAACAAUGUUCUUAAUUCGUGGGCUACCAACUUGGAGAAAUUGCUUGAUCUUGUUGAGAAGAGCUGCCACCAAAUACACAAAGAAAUUGCUUGCAGUUCAUGCAGCUUAGCAGGAAAUUUCUGGAGCAGGUUGCAGCUUCCAGCAUCAGUUCUGCCACUCU